AAAUAACGAUACGGGACUCUAUUGAGGCCCCGUAAUCGGAAUGAGUACACUUUAAAUCCUUUAACAAGGAUCCAUUGGAGGGCAAGUCUGGUGCCAGCAGCCGCGGUAAUUCCAGCUCCAAUAGCGUAUAUUAAAGUUGUUGCGGUUAAAAAGCUCGUAGUUGGUUCUGCGUGCCGCGCUGUCGGUUCGCCGCCUGUCGGUGUAACUGGCAUGUCGCGGCAUGUCCUGUCGGUGGUGAACGGGAUUCCCGGUGCUGCUUAGGCUUCCAUAGCUUAAGUUAGGGCCGUGUGAAGUCCGUUUGCCGAUCUCUCCUACUCCGGUGCUCUUAAACGAGUGUCGAGGUAGGCCGACACGUUCACUUUGAACAAAUUAGAGUGCUUAAAGCAGGCUGAAAUAUCUGCCUGAAUAGUGGUGCAUGGAAUGAUAAAAUAGGACCUCGGUUCUAUUUUGUUGGUUUUAGGAAUGUGAGGUAAUGAUCAAUGUGGACUGGCGGGGGCAUUCGUAUUGCGACGUUAGAGGUGAAAUUCUUGGAUCGUCGCAAGACGCACUAAAGCGAAAGCAUUUGCCAAGUAUGUCUUAAUUGAUCAAGAACGAAAGUUAGAGGUUCGAAGGCGAUCAGAUACCGCCCUAGUUCUAACCAUAAACGAUGCCAGCCAGCGAUCCGCCGAUGUUCCAUUAAUGACUCGGCGGGGAGCUUCCACCCGGGAAACCAAAGCUUUUGGGUUCCGGGGGAAGUAUGGUUGCAAAGCUGAAACUUAAAGGAAUUGACGGAAG
rnacentral:rRNA from 1 species